rnacentral:rRNA from 1 species
AGUGAACGCUGGCGGUAGGCCUAACACAUGCAAGUCGAACGGCAGCACAGUAAGAGCUUGCUCUUACGGGUGGCGAGUGGCGGACGGGUGAGGAAUACAUCGGAAUCUACUUUUUCGUGGGGGAUAACGUAGGGAAACUUACGCUAAUACCGCAUACGACCUACGGGUUAAAGCAGGGGAUCUUCGGACCUUGCGCGAUUGAAUGAGCCGAUGUCGGAUUAGCUAGUUGGCGGGGUAAAGGCCCACCAAGGCGACGAUCCGUAGCUGGUCUGAGAGGAUGAUCAGCCAAACUGGAACUGAGACACGGUCCAGACUCCUACGGGAGGCAGCAGUGGGGAAUAUUGGACAAUGGGCGCAAGCCUGAUCCAGCCAUACCGCGUGGGUGAAGAAGGCCUUCGGGUUGUAAAGCCCUUUUGUUGGGAAAGAAAAGCAGCAGGUUAAUACCCCGCUGUUCUGACGGUACCCAAAGAAUAAGCACCGGCUAACUUCGUG